rnacentral:rRNA from 1 species
AUAGGUUAAUGAGGCGAACCGGGGGAACUGAAACAUCUAAGUACCCCGAGGAAAAGAAAUCAACCGAGAUUCCCCCAGUAGCGGCGAGCGAACGGGGAGGAGCCCAGAGCCUGAAUCAGCAUGUGUGUUAGUGGAAGCGUCUGGAAAGGCGCGCGAUACAGGGUGACAGCCCCGUACACAAAAGCGCAUAUGCUGUGAGCUCGAUGAGUAGGGCGGGACACGUGGUAUCCUGUCUGAAUAUGGGGGGACCAUCCUCCAAGGCUAAAUACUCCUGACUGACCGAUAGUGAACCAGUACCGUGAGGGAAAGGCGAAAAGAACCCCGGCGAGGGGAGUGAAACAGAACCUGAAACCGUGUACGUACAAGCAGUGGGAGCACAGGUUUACCUGUGUGACUGCGUACCUUUUGUAUAAUGGGUCAGCGACUUAUAUUCUGUAGCAAGGUUAACCGCAUAGGGGAGCCGAAGGGAAACCGAGUCUUAAUUGGGCGUUAAGUUGCAGGGUAUAGACCCGAAACCCGGUGAUCUAGCCAUGGGCAGGUUGAAGGUUGGGUAACACUAACUGGAGGACCGAACCGACUAAUGUUGAAAAAUUAGCGGAUGACCUGUGGCUGGGGGUGAAAGGCCAAUCAAACCGGGAGAUAGCUGGUUCUCCCCGAAAGCUAUUUAGGUAGCGCCUCGUGAAUUCAUCUCCGGGGGUAGAGCACUGUUUCGGCUAGGGGGCCAUCCCGGCUUACCAACCCGAUGCAAACUGCGAAUACCGGAGAAUGUUAUCACGGGAGACACACGGCGGGUGCUAACGUCCGUCGUGAAGAGGGAAACAACCCAGACCGCCAGCUAAGGUCCCAAAGUCAUGGUUAAGUGGGAAACGAUGUGGGAAGGCCCAGACAGCCAGGAUGUUGGCUUAGAAGCAGCCAUCAUUUAAAGAAAGCGUAAUAGCUCACUGGUCGAGUCGGCCUGCGCGGAAGAUGUAACGGGGCUAAACCAUGCACCGAAGCUGCGGCAGCGACGCUUAUGCGUUGUUGG